UCUUCUUCUUCUUCCUCUUCCUUUAUUCCUUUCCUUUCCUCUCCUUCUUUUUCUUCCUCUCUGUUGCCGUCUGAGAACCUCCUCCCUCUUUCUUUCUCUGCUUCAUUCCGUGAGCCAGCUCAAACCCUCCAAUUAAAUCACAUCAAGAUACUAUUCACCCUUUCUUUAAUAUUAUUAAAUUUUCAUUUUGCCCCUAACACUUCAACAUAUCUACUGUUAUGCCAUUAACUUUUGAUUCCUUUCCAAUUUUACCCUUACCACUUCAACGUAUCUACAACUAUGCCAUUAUCUUUUGAUUCCUUCCAAUUUUACCCCUUAUAUUAAUUUUAAAGGACUAUUCU
rnacentral:lncRNA from 1 species